rnacentral:rRNA from 1 species
CCGCGCUCUUAUCGUCCUUCCCUUCGGGGCAUACGAGACAGGUGGUGCAUGGUUGUCGUCAGCUCGUGUCGUGAGAUGUUGGGUUAAGUCCCGCAACGAGCGCAACCCUUAUCCUUAGUAGCCAGCGGUCCGGCCGGGCACUCUGGGGAGACUGCCGGGGAUAACCCGGAGGAAGGUGGGGAUGACGUCAAAUCAUCAUGCCCCUUAUGACUUGGGCUACACACGUGCUACAAUGGCGUAAACAAAGGGAGGCGACCCCGUGAGGGUGAGCAAAUCCCAAAAAUAACGUCUCAGUUCGGAUUGUAGUCUGCAACUCGACUGCAUGAAGCUGGAAUCGCUAGUAAUCGCGGAUCAGAAUGCUGCGGUGAAUACGUUCCCGGGUCUUGU